GUGGGGAAUAUUGGACAAUGGGGGCAACCCUGAUCCAGCCAUGCCGCGUGUGUGAAGAAGGCCUUCGGGUUGUAAAGCACUUUUGUUCGGGAAGAAAAGCCAUCGGUGAAUACCCGGUGGUUCUGACGGUACCGGAAGAAUAAGCACCGGCUAACUUCGUGCCAGCAGCCGCGGUAAUACGAAGGGUGCAAGCGUUACUCGGAAUUACUGGGCGUAAAGCGUGCGUAGGUGGUUCGUUAAGUCUGUCGUGAAAGCCCCGGGCUCAACCUGGGAAUGGCGAUGGAAACUGGCGAGCUAGAGUGCGGUAGAGGGCGGUGGAAUUCCCGGUGUAGCAGUGAAAUGCGUAGAGAUCGGGAGGAACAUCAGUGGCGAAGGCGGCCGCCUGGACCAGCACUGACACUGAGGCACGAAAGCGUGGGGAGCAAACAGGAUUAGAAACCCCGGUAGUCC
rnacentral:rRNA from 1 species